rnacentral:rRNA from 1 species
GAUGAACGCUGGCGGCGUGCCUAAUACAUGCAAGUCGAGCGAACGGACGAGAAGCUUGCUUCUCUGAUGUUAGCGGCGGACGGGUGAGUAACACGUGGAUAACCUACCUAUAAGACUGGGAUAACUUCGGGAAACCGGAGCUAAUACCGGAUGAUAUUUUGAACCGCAUGGUUCAAAAGUGAAAGGCGGUCUUGCUGUCACUUAUAGAUGGAUCCGCGCUGCAUUAGCUAGUUGGUAAGGUAACGGCUUACCAAGGCAACGAUGCAUAGCCGACCUGAGAGGGGGAUCGGCCACACUGGAACUGAGACACGGUCCAGACUCCUACGGGAGGCAGCAGUAGGGAAUCUUCCGCAACGGGCGAAAGCCUGACGGAGCAACGCCGCGUGAGUGAUGAAGGUCUUCGGAUCGUAAAACUCUGUUAUUAGGGAAGAACAUAUGUGUAAGUAACUGUGCACAUCUGGACGGUACCUAAUCAGAAAGCCACGGCUAACUACGU